rnacentral:rRNA from 1 species
AUGUGCAUCCCGUAGAAGCUAGGUGGUAUGGGAUUCCGUGAUUUGUGUUCUUUCAACAUGGCCAUGCUCUCAAAACAGUCAUGGCGGCUUUUGAAUAAACAAGACUCGCUGUGUGCUAAAGUGUUAAGAGCUAAAUACUAUCCAGGCGGAAAGCUCUUAAAUGUUGGCCCUAAGAAGGGCUCCUCUUAUACUUGUCAAAGCAUAAUUGCAGGUUUACCAACUUUUAGGAGGGGGCAUAUUUGGAGAGUUGGGUCUGGGAGUAAUAUCAAUAUUUCGGAGGACCAUUGGAUCCCAAACUGUCCAUCCAGGAAAGUACUUACCAAAAGGGGUCAGUGUCUUCUUCGGCAUGUCGAUGAGUUGAUUGAUCAAGAUACUCAUUGCUAGCAUGAGCCACUUAUUCGAGACAUUUUCAUGCAUGUUGAUGCUCAGAAUAUUCUCAUGAUUCCUUUGAGUGAACACUUGCAGGAGGACUUUGUGGCUUGGCAUAAAACAAAGUCCUUUGUCUUCUCGGUACGGUCUGCUUAUUACAUAGAAUGGGAGCACCAGUUUGGCGCAAAAACAAGAUGA